GAGACCAUACGCUAAAGCCUACGUGAGGGUCGGCAACUAGAUCAUGGUCAACUAACGUACGCGCCCACAUAUUAUUCUUAUUAUGUCAGCGAUUUACUGGACCUAAGGAGAACAAUGUAAUGUUAUAAAGUAGAAAUGGACUCUAUUUGUAUUAUAGAUAUGAUAUUAAAUAUUUUCCUGUUAUUUGUAGUACUAAUAAAAAUUAUUAUAGAUACAACAUGACAUGAUAAA